rnacentral:rRNA from 2 species
UGGGGAAUAUUGGGCAAUGGGGGAAACCCUGACCCAGCAACGCCGCGUGAAGGAAGAAGGCUUUCGGGUUGUAAACUUCUUUUAAGAGGGACGAACACAAUGACGGUACCUCUUGAAUAAGCCACGGCUAACUACGUGCCAGCAGCCGCGGUAAUACGUAGGUGGCGAGCGUUGUCCGGAAUUACUGGGUGUAAAGGGCGUGUAGGCGGGAAAGUAAGUCAGAUGUGAAAUACCGGGGCUUAACUCCGGGGCUGCAUCUGAAACUGUUUUUCUUGAGUGUCGGAGAGGAAAGCGGAAUUCCUAGUGUAGCGGUGAAAUGCGUAGAUAUUAGGAGGAACACCAGUGGCGAAGGCGGCUUUCUGGACGACAACUGACGCUGAGGCGCGAAAGCGUGGGGAGCAAACAGG